UCUAUGUCCUCUCUAAUGCUUUGUUAUGUCUUGAAUCGAUUAACAAAGCCUCGCUUGUGGACGAUAUAAAUGCUUGUUUUAUUAUCCUAGCUUUUGAAGUAACUUUUAUUUUAUAUAGCUCGAGAAACGUAAAACUACAAGC
rfam:Musca domestica strain aabys unplaced genomic scaffold Scaffold19000, whole genome shotgun sequence.